rnacentral:rRNA from 1 species
UUCUGGUUGAUCCUGCCAGAGGUUACUGCUAUCGAGGUUCGACUAAGCCAUGCGAGUCGAAUGUAGCAAUACAUGGCGUACUGCUCAGUAACACGUGGAUAACCUACCCUUGAGACGGGGAUAAACCCGGGAAACUGGGUAUAAUACCCGAUAGAUCUCGACUGCUGGAAUGCAUCGAGCUCUAAAGCUCCGGCGCUCAAGGAUGGGUCUGCGGCCUAUCAGGUAGUAGUGGGUGUAGCGUACCUACUAGCCUACGACGGGUACGGGUUGUGAGAGCGAGAGCCCGGAGACGGAUUCUGAGACACGAAUCCAGGCCCUACGGGUGCAGCAGGCGCGAAAACUUUACAAUGCUGGAAACAGCGAUAAGGGGACCUCGAGUGCCAGGUUACAAAUCUGGCUGUCGUGAUGCCUAAAAAGCAUUGCAUAGCAAGGGCCGGGCAAGACCGGUGCCAGCCGCCGCGGUAACACCGGCGGCUCGAGUGGUAACCGUUAUUAUUGGGUCUAAAGGGUCUGUAGCCGGCCGGAUAAGUCUCUUGGGAAAUCUGGCAGCUUAACUGUCAGGCUUUCAGGAGAUACUGUCUGGCUCGAGGCCGGGAGAGGUGAGAGGUACUUCAGGGGUAGGGGUGAAAUCUUGUAAUCCUUGAAGGACCACCAGUGGCGAGGGCGUCUCACCAGAACGGACCUGACGGCAAGGGACGAAAGCUAGGGGCACGAACCGGAUUAGAUACCCGGGUAGUCCUAGCCGUAAACGAUACUCGCUAGGUGUCGGCCACGGUGCGACCGUUGUCGGUGCCGUAGGGAAGCCGUGAAGCGAGCCACCUGGGAAGUACGGCCGCAAGGCUGAAACUUAAAGGAAUUGGCGGGA